GAUUUCGUGGCCUAAUGGCGAAGGCGUUGCCCUCCGGAGGCAAAGAUUGUGGGUUCGAGUCCCAUCGAAAUCG